GACGAACGCUGGCGGCGUGCCUAAUACAUGCAAGUAGAACGCUGAAGGAGGAGCUUGCUUCUCUGGAUGAGUUGCGAACGGGUGAGUAACGCGUAGGUAACCUGCCUGGUAGCGGGGGAUAACUAUUGGAAACGAUAGCUAAUACCGCAUAAGAGUAGAUGUUGCAUGACAUUUGCUUAAAAGGUGCAAUUGCAUCACUACCAGAUGGACCUGCGUUGUAUUAGCUAGUUGGUGGGGUAACGGCUCACCAAGGCGACGAUACAUAUCCGACCUGAGAGGGUGAUAGGCCAAACUGGGACUGAGACACGGCCCAGACUCCUACGGGAGGCAGCAGGAGGGAAUCUUCGGAAAUGGACGGAAGUCUGACCGAGCAAAGCCGCGUGAGUGAAGAAGGUUUUCGGAUCGUAAAGCUCUGUUGUAAGAGAAGAACGAGGGUGAGAGUGGAAAGUUCACACUGUGACGGUAUCUUACCAGAAAGGGACGGCUAACUACGUG
rnacentral:rRNA from 1 species